GCAGUCGGACGAUGACCACUUCGGUGGGGAUUAGUGGCGAACGGGUGAGUAACACGUGGGCAAUCUGCCCUUCACUCUGGGACAAGCCCUGGAAACGGGGUCUAAUACCGGAUACAACCACUACAGGCAUCUGUGGGUGGUGGAAAGCUCCGGCGGUGAAGGAUGAGCCCGCGGCCUAUCAGCUUGUUGGUGAGGUAACGGCUCACCAAGGCGACGACGGGUAGCCGGCCUGAGAGGGCGACCGGCCACACUGGGACUGAGACACGGCCCAGACUCCUACGGGAGGCAGCAGUGGGGAAUAUUGCACAAUGGGCGAAAGCCUGAUGCAGCGACGCCGCGUGAGGGAUGACGGCCUUCGGGUUGUAAACCUCUUUCAGCAGGGAAGAAGCGAAAGUGACGGUACCUGCAGAAGAAGCGCCGGCUAACUACGUGCCAGCAGCCGCGGUAAUACGUAGGGCGCGAGCGUUGUCCGGAAUUAUUGGGCGUAAAGAGCUCGUAGGCGGUCUGUCGCGUCGGAUGUGAAAGCCCGGGGCUUAACCCCGGGUCUGCAUUCGAUACGGGCAGACUAGAGUGUGGUAGGGGAGAUCGGAAUUCCUGGUGUAGCGGUGAAAUGCGCAGAUAUCAGGAGGAACACCGGUGGCGAAGGCGGAUCUCUGGGCCAUUACUGACGCUGAGGAGCGAAAGCGUGGGGAGCGAACAGGAUUAGAUACCCUGGUAGUCCACGCCGUAAACGGUGGGAACUAGGUGUUGGCGACAUUCCACGUCGUCGGUGCCGCAGCUAACGCAUUAAGUUCCCCGCCUGGGGAGUACGGCCGCAAGGCUAAAACUCAAAGGAAUUGACGGGGGCCCGCACAAGCAGCGGAGCAUGUGGCUUAAUUCGACGCAACGCGAAGAACCUUACCAAGGCUUGACAUCGCCCGGAAAGCAUCAGAGAUGGUGCCCCCCUUGUGGUCGGGUGACAGGUGGUGCAUGGCUGUCGUCAGCUCGUGUCGUGAAAUGUUGGGUUAAGUCCCGCAACGAGCGCAACCUUUGUUCUGUGUUGCCAGCAUGCCCUUCCGGGGUGAUUGGGGACUCCAAGGAUACUGGCCGGGGUCCACUCCGAAGGAAGGUGGGGAACAACUUCAAAUUCUUCAUGCCCCUUUAUGUCUUGGGGCUGGCAACUUUGCUCAAAUGGGCAGUGGCAAAUGAUCCUCCCAAACCCUUUGGGGCGGAUCGAAUUCCAAAAAGCCUGGUCCAAUUUCGGAAUUGGGGUUCCUAAAUCCUAGCCCCAGUAAAAGUCAGAGAUUCGUAAGAACUCGCAUAAACCCGUAUUCGGCUGCGGUAAACAUAUGUCCGCGUCCUAUCUACCCCGUCGCCUUAGAAAAUCUGAAAUAGCGGUUAAGACCGGGAGGUCCUUGUUUCACCGCUCCUGGGAUGGGGGGAUAGUAUAUUAGAACUAGAAGGAUGGAAAGCUUGAUAUGAACUCACACAAUCGUAGAGCUGCGCGAGGGCAUACCUAUAUUGAAAAGUCCCCGCCUAGAAAGAUGGGGGUGUUGUGAGAGGUUAUAUGUGCUGUUCGUGCUUAUUGAGAGUUGUUGUCAUAGAGUGAUAUAUUGAUUGACUGAUUGCAUCCAAUAAGUGUUAAUACACAGUUGCUAUCCAUGAUAGCGACCUGGAGUACUUGUGGAUCGAAGGAAGCGAAUUUGGCGUUAGACGUGUCUGUAA
rnacentral:rRNA from 1 species